UGCUUCAGACCAAAUUUGGUCAAAAUCCACUCAGAUGUUCAUGACUAUAUUUUUAGGAAGAGUUGAAGAACGACAGAUGCUGCUCCAGACAUGGGCUUAUUACCAGACAUGGGCUGAUUUCUGGAUAAAUAUGAUACUUAGAUAAAACUCCAGGAACAAAUUGGGAUGAAUAGUGUUCCAAUCUCGGAGUUCCCUAGACACCGAUUCCAGGCCUUGAUGAAACUUGUAAUUAAUGACAUCAAACUGGAAACGAAAAAGCUCCGCAACUUAAUGAAUAUAACACAGCCCCAGCAUGCCCUACAUCAGAUCAAGUGUCCUCUCUACAUUAAGUUUAAUGAAGUCUUCUGGAAAUAAUGGGUCUAGUCAGCGCUAUAUAAAAGUACAAUAAAUGGUUUCGUAGCUUA